GAUGAACGCUGGCGGCGCGCCUAACACAUGCAAGUCGAACGAUUAAAGCACCUUCGGGUGUGUAUAAAGUGGCGAACGGCUGAGUAACACGUGGGCAACCUGCCCCUCUCAUUGGGAUAGCCACGGGAAACCGUGGAUAAUACCGAAUACUUCGGGACUUCCGCAUGGAAGACUCGAGAAAGCUCCGGCGGAGAGGGAUGGGCCCGCGGCCUGUUAGCUUGUUGGUGGGGUAAUGGCCUACCUAGGCAAUGAUGGGUAGCUGGGUUGAGAGACCGACCAGCCAGAUUGGGACUGAGACACGGCCCAGACUCCUACGGGAGGCAGCAGUGGGGAAUCUUGCACAAUGGGCGAAAGCCUGAUGCAGCGACGCCGCGUGCGGGAUGAAGGCCUUCGGGUUGUAAACCGCUUUCAGCAGGGACGAGGCGAAAGUGACGGUACCUGCAGAAGAAGCCCCGGCUAACUACGUG
rnacentral:rRNA from 1 species